CUGAAUGCUUGCUCUUGGGGGAAUUACUGGAAUUGUUGGGUCUUUGUAAAUUAUAGAGUGUGGUCUAGAGUGUGGUCUAGAGCUACUCUAUCUGUAGAGUGUCUUGAGACAACUCUUGUUAUGAUUUAUUUGACAUUAUUAAUAAAAUUGAAUUGAAUUAAUAGAAAACAACCUGCAACCUAUAAUUAUUAUUAUUGUUAUUAUUAACACUUAUUGUUACUCACCAAGUUGAUAUAGAGACCUAUGGAGAAGACAAAGAAUACUUUUAUUAGAAUUACUUGAAGUUACAGUAAAUCUUGAAAUGAAAUUGUAUUUGGAUGUCAGUAAACACAACAGUAUAUUGGA